GCUUGGUGUCGGACGCAAACUUGCUGAGGGUGCAAUGAAUCCCAUCAUCCAGGUCGUUAAUAAAGACGUUGAACAAAACCAGCCCCAGGACCGACCCCUGGCGU